GAGACCGUGCCAGCAAGCUAUACAUGCAGUCGAGCGAAUGGAUUAAGAGCUUGCUCUUAUGAAGUUAGCGGCGGACGGGUGAGUAACACGUGGGUAACCUGCCCAUAAGACUGGGAUAACUCCGGGAAACCGGGGCUAAUACCGGAUAACAUUUUGAACCGCAUGGUUCGAAAUUGAAAGGCGGCUUCGGCUGUCACUUAUGGAUGGACCCGCGUCGCAUUAGCUAGUUGGUGAGGUAACGGCUCACCAAGGCAACGAUGCGUAGCCGACCUGAGAGGGUGAUCGGCCACACUGGGACUGAGACACGGCCCAGACUCCUACGGGAGGCAGCAGUAGGGAAUCUUCCGCAAUGGACGAAAGUCUGACGGAGCAACGCCGCGUGAGUGAUGAAGGCUUUCGGGUCGUAAAACUCUGUUGUUAGGGAAGAACAAGUCCGAGUAUGUGGAAGACCUCAUCACUUGCCCUAGACUGGCUACACGGUCUACAAUGUGAAGGUUGAUCGCAACUGGACUGAACUGUCAGUCUACGAGUCACAGUAGGAAUCUCGCAUGAGAGUCGAGCGACAUGCCGCUGAAUAUGAGGCCUCGUCGUAACUCGUGUAGGAGACCAGGCUAGUGAUUAAGCUGCACUGACGUACUAGCAGAAAGUCACGCUAACUACGUGCAGCAGCGCGUAAUACGUAGUGCAAGCGUAUCUGAAUUAUUGGGCGUAAAGCGCGCGGCAGUGGUUUCUAAGUCUGAUGUGAAAGCCCACGGCUCAACCCGUGGAGGGUCAUUGGAAACUGGGAGACUUGAGUGCAGAAAGAGGAAAGUGGAAUUCCAUGUGUAGCGGUGAAAUGCGUAGAAGAUAUGGAGGAACACCAGUGGCGAAGGCGACUUUCUGGUCUGUAACUGACACUGAGGCGCGAAAGCGUGGGGAGCAAACAAGAUUAGAUACCCUGGUAGUCCACGCCGUAAACGAUGAGUGCUAAGUGUUAGAGGGUUUCCGCCCUUUAGUGCUGAAGUUAACGCAUUAAGCACUCCGCCUGGGGAGUACGGCCGCCAGGCUGAAACUCAAAGGAAUUGACGGGGGCCCGCACAAGCGGUGGAGCAUGUGGUUUAAUUUGAAGCAACGCGAAGAACCUUACCAGGUCUUGACAUCCUUUGACAACCCUAGAGAUAGGGCUUUUCCUUUGGGAGCAGAGUGACAGGUGGUGCAUGGUUGUUGUCAGCUUGUGUCGUGAGAUGUUGGGUUAAGUCCCGCAACGAGCGCAACCCUUGAUUUUAGUUGCCAUCAUUUAGUUGGGCACUUUAAGGUGACUGCCGGUGACAAACCGGAGGAAGGUGGGGAUGACGUCAAAUCAUCAUGCCCCUUAUGACCUGGGCUACACACGUGGUACAAUGGACGGUACAAAGAGCUGCAAGACCGCGAGGUGGAGCUAAUUUCAUAAAACCGUUUUCAGUUUGGAUUGUAGGCUGCAACUUGCCUACAUGAAGCUGGAAUCGGUAGUAAUCGCGGAUCAGCAUGCCGCGGUGAAUACGUUCCCGGGCCUUGUACACCCCGCCCGUCACCCCCCGAGAGUUUGUAACCCCCGAAGUCGGUGGGGUAACCUUUUUGGAGCCAGCCGCCUAAGGUGGGACAGAUGAUUGGGGGAAGUCGAACAAGAGCAUAGGG
rnacentral:rRNA from 1 species